GGCCUGGUGGUGUAAUGGCCAACAUGCCUGCUUUAAAUGUCUCUGUAUUCUUGUAAACAUUUACAGUGGGAGAUUCGUUGUUCGAAUCAAGGCCAGGCCG